GGGGUAAAGGAUUUUUUUAAUACUCCUCAAGUCCAGAGGCAGACUUACUAUGAAGUUACUAAAGCCUAUGCUUCAGGGGAUCUGCUUCGCUUGCUCUGAUCCCUUCCAAAACACUCUAUCUCAUUUUGAAUUCAUAAUUUUGUAUUCUUUUCCUUGCAGGGCCCAUAAAUAAUCCAAUUACAGAACCUACCAUACCAAGAUCCAUCAUGGCCAAAGCACAUCAAAAUACUCUGACAAUUUCUUAAAUGUCUUUGGGUGAGACAGUCUAGUUAUAAUCUGUUCUGAGGGGAUGGGGGAGGAUACUGAUAAGCUCCCCACUACACUGGGAGGCCAGGCCUCGCAUACACUUGCACCCCUGUUGCCUGGUGCACAUCUGGUGCAUUUCAGAUAUCCAAAGACAGACCGUUUGUAGCACUGUUGACCAACAGUGAGUUUUCAGGAAGAGGUAAACGGCUUCCUAACCAAGUCCUUAGUUCUGGAGUAGUUGAGAGGCAGUGCCUGUAGAGCUAUAUCCAAUGACUAGCAGAAAGGAUGCUGUCAUCUCAAAUGAACAGGGCCACAGCAUGACUCCUGGUCCCCAGAAGAGCCUGUGGGAAUGGUGAGGUAAGUCAUCUCAAUGGGACCAUACAGGCUGGCUCUGCGCUGGAUGAAGAAAAGGACCCCCUUCUCCUCUCUUUGAAAAGAUUCAUGAGCAUAUUUACCUAUGAAACAGAAAAGAAAACAAAUCUGGAUGGGACUUACAAAUCUCCCAAAUACAGAAAUGCAAAUGGGGACCUGCUUUAUGGCACAGGGAACUCUAUUCAAUAUUCUGUGAUAACCUCUAUGGGAAAAGAAUCUGAAAAAGAAUGGAUGUGUGUUCAUGGAUAACUGAAUCAUUUUGCUGUACAGAAGAAAUUAAUAGCAUAUUGUAAAUCAACUCUAUUCCAAUAAAAUUAAAAAAAAAAAAGUCAGGUGCCCAUACGACUCAGCACUUCCAUUUCUGGAUAUACCCAUAAGGAAUGACAGCAGGGAUUUGAACAUACAUUUGUACACCCAUGUUCAUAGCAACAUUACUCACAAUAGCCCAAAAGUGAAACUGUGUCCAUCAAUAGAAGAAAAGAUAAACAAAAUGUGUAUAGAUACAGUAGUUCCCACUGUGGCACAACAGAAGCAAAUCUGACUAGUAUCCGUGAGGACGCAGGUUCAAUCCCUGACCUCACGCAGUGGGUUGAGGAUCUGAUGUUGCUGUGAUCUGUGAUAUAGUUCCAGGUACAGCUCAGAUGUGGUGUUGCUGUGGCUGUGUUAUAGGCUGGCAGCUGCAGCCCCAAUUCAACCCCUAGCCUGGGAGCUUCCAUAUGCUGCAGGUGCAACCCUAAAAAGGGGAGGGAAAAAAAGCAAAAAAAAAAAAAUAUAUAUAUAUAUAUGUGUGUGUGUAUACAUACAAUGAAUAUUAUUCAAUCUUUAAAAAGAAUGGAAUUCUAACACGUUACACUGAAACUUGAGAACACUAUACUAUAUGAAACAAGCCACCCACAAAAGGACAAAUAUUAUAUGAUUUCACUUAUUUGAGGUAUCUGGAGUAAUCAAAUUUAUAGACACAGAAUGAAUGUAGAAUGGUGGUGGCUAGGGACUGGGGUGGGGGAAUGGGGAAUUAUUGUUUAAUGGGUAGGGGGUUUCAAAUUUUUGAGACAAAGAGUUCUGGAGACGGAUACUGGUGAUGGUUAUACAACAGUGUGAAUAUACUUAAAGCCUCUGAACUGUACACUUUAAAAUGGU
rnacentral:lncRNA from 1 species